CAUCACCACGCACUGCACACUUUUUGCCAUUAUCUUCACUCUCAUUCAUACAUUUCAUACUCACACUUAACACUUGUUCUUCUAGUGUAUUUGAAUCGCAACACUCUAUUACGCUUCUAUUUUAUCUUAAUCGAUCUUCGAGUGGAUAUUCUCCCACUUUCACUCACUAUCAUCUUCUCUCUUUUAUUCUGCUAUGUUUUCUCAAUUUUCUUUCCUUACAAAGAUUAAGUGUUGCUGGUAAGGUGUUGUUCUUCGAUCCUUUUCCCUGUUUGUGGUAAGUAGAAGUCCUAAGGCAAGUUUCUAACUGCUUCGAUUGCCUUGUGUUCUCCUUGCUCACCAUGGUUGAACUCACCAAUCAUGCCUCCGGUGUUGCAGCUGUAAAUUUUUUAAAGGCUGUUUGUAGAUGGAAGUGUCUUAAGUUCUGCAAAAUAUUGUGGGGGGUUUGUACAGAAUACAUAGCUCCAUAAGUUUCCUCUAUGGCCUGUUCAACUCCAAUGCUGAAGUGGGCAACAACUAUAUCUUGUGUCAUCUUCACCUUAGACAUCCCCUCUUUGAGGUAUUUGGUAUGCUUAAUUCAGAUCUUGAUCUUUUUUAACCCUUCAGAACUAGUUUGUGACAUUUUCCACGUGGAAAAACAAUUUAGAACACCAUUUCCUCUCAGUUCACAUAAGUCAAAAGUUCUAUUUGACCUUGUGCAUGGUGAUGUUUGGGAUCCGUAUCACAUUCAAACCAGGUAUGGUUUCAAGUACUUUUUAACACUUGUAGAUAAUUUUUACGUGCUACUUGGGUCUUCUUCAUGGAGAGUAAGUCUGAAGUUUUUACGUGCCUGAAACAGUUUCUUUGAUUGAAAAUCAGUUUGAUAAAAUUAUCAAGAUUUUUAUGUCGACAAUAGAACAAAGUUUGUGAAUUCUCGUCUUGCUGAUCUGUUUGGUAAUUUUGGAAUAGUGCAUCAAACUUCAUGUACCUAUAGUCCUUAGAAAAGUAGUGUUGUUGAGCGUAAAUAUAGGCACAUUCUAAACGUUGCUAGAGCCCUCAUGUUUUAAAGCUGUUGUCCUGCCAAAAUUUGUGAGGAUUGUGUCCUUGCAGCUGUUUAUAUAAUAAAUAGGUUACCUACUCCUCUCCUUGAUAAACUGAGUCCCUUUCAAGUUAUCUAUAACUGAAAACCAGAUCUAAAAAGUUUAAAGGUCUUUGGAUGCCUUUGCUAUGUGACUAAUUUAAAUACUUCAGAUAAGUUCCAUCCAAAGGCGACUCAUUGUUUUAUUGGUUAUGCUGAGAAUAAAAAAGGUUGUAAGGUCCUUACCUUAAAACAUUCUCAAUCUUUUUCGUCUCAUUUGAAGUUACCUUCUAUGAGUUUGUGUUUCCCUUUUAUUCUAUUGGCUCCAUAACUGACUUACAUAUGCCCCUGCCUAAGUUUGGCCCUACCAAUAGCGUGUAUGAUGAUUUCUGUGACACUUGUGAAGGCAAUCGUGUGGCAACACUUCUGGAUGAUCUUCAAGAAUCUUGCUUGAAUCAACAACCGAGUAUUACCAAUGAUAGCAACACAAAUGCAGUUUGUGAACCCGAACACCUCACAUAAACAACCCAUGAGAUAUCUGAGGCACACCCUAACAUACGCUACUCUAAUAGAAAACAUUGUUCAACCUCUUACAAGAUCAGAUAUAACAUUUUCUGUAAAUUUAUUAGUAGAAUUUAGUGCAAUGUCAACACAACGAUAUUGGAAAGUAAUUACACAUAUUUUUUGUUAUCUCCAAGGAAUGAUGAGCUCGGUUAUUAUAUUUUAAGAACAUUCGACAUGAAUUGAUUGGAUAUACAUAUGAUGGAUAUCUUUCUGACCCACAUAAAGGCAAGUCUCAGACUGUACAAUGGUAUCUGGAUAUCCACUAAAAACAAACUUUAACCGCAACAUCUUUGAAUAUUCUGAAAUAAUAGCAAUACAUGAAGCUAGAUGAGAAUGUGUCUAGUUGAAAUCAAUGACUCACCACACUUUAAAAAAUUAUGGUUUGAAAUUUGAAAAUGAUGAUCCUUCUACUGUCUUAUACGAAAUGAAAACAAUACAACUUGCAUAACGCAACUUAUAUGAGGAUAUAUUAAAUGAGAUAGAAUGAAAAAUAUUUUACCAAAAAUUUUCUUUACUUAUAAUCUUCAGAAAAAUGGUGAAAUAGAUGUGAUGUAGAUUCGAUCCAAUGAUAAUUUUAGCAGAGCUAUUGCCUAUUUUAGCGUUAAAUUGUUUUUUUUU